CAUCCUUGCUCAGAACACAAGGGGAAUUCUGGGGAAUUCUCCCAGGUCCUGCCGGUGGGACAAAGGUUUCCAGGAACCCGUCCUUCACGCGGGCCUUCCUGGGCAGGGCGCGGACUGUGUGAACCUGAGAGCUCCCUGGCUGCUCCUUAAACUUCUCUAGGGCCAGGAGCCCAGCCAGCUUCUCCAACAUGCGCCCCCACAGAGCCGAUGCCCAGAAGUCCAGCACAGAUCCCACCUCCUCGGAAUCACCAAGUGCAAGUGGCAGAGGACAGGUGGACAGGUGGACAGGUGGACAGGCAAGGCCAUCCUAAAUUAGCCAACUGCUAUGCAGGGACCAAGUCCAGCGAGACCAGAAGAAGCGCCUAGUCGAGCCAGCCAAGAUCGGCAGAGCUGCCAAGGUGAACACUCAGGCACCCCCUCCUGCAUCCCACCCAAGUCGGUGCUUCAGGAUUCUCAUCUGCUUCAACACCCCCGCCCCCAGCCCGCAUCCCUGGGUCACUGCAUUCUUCCCUGGAUGACACUCGCAUGGAACAAUAGCUCAUCUACAACACAGCUCUUCUGGCUUCAGCUCAGCGGGAUGUUUUGCUAAAAUCACGAUGAUAUUUUUGGCUGGAGGCUACUGACUCAAAAUGUGCUAUGAAAGCAACUCUUACAUCUUGGGAAGCACUGGCCUGAGCUGCCUUCAAGGAACAGAAUUCUGAAUGUGCCUAAGCUGUGCUCUGCACAGAGCUCCAAGUCUUCGCUGAAUGAAUGCUGCACAAACAAGGUUCACUGCACGAUGAAUCACAACACAGUCAUUGACUACAGCAGACGGGCUCCGGAAUUUGCCUUCAUGUGUGAUCUCUGACGGCCA